GUAAGGAAUAUUGCUCAAUGGGAGAAAUCCUGAAGCAGCAACGCCGCGUGGAGGAUGAAGGGUCUAUGACUUGUAAACUCCUGUAAAGAAGGAAAAAAUUCCCAUUAGAUGGGAGAUGAUGGUACUUCUGGAGUAAGCCCCGGCUAACUACGUGCCAGCAGCCGCGGUAAUACGUAGGGGGCAAGCGUUGUCCGGAUUUACUGGGUGUAAAGGGUGCUCAGGCGGAUUUGUAAGUCAGAGGUGAAAUCUUACAGCUUAACUGUGAAACUGCCUUUGAUACUGCAAGCCUAGAGUAUGGAAGAGAGUGAUAAAAUAUCUGGUGUAGCAGUGAAAUGCGUAGAUAUCAGAUAGAACACCAAUGGCGAAGGCAGUCACUUGGUCCAUUACUGACGCUAAAGCACGAAAGCGUGGGUAGCAAACA
rnacentral:rRNA from 1 species